GAGACUGGGACCAGCUCCUGCAGGACCCAGUGUGAGGGGUGCCUUCCAUCUGCAGGCAGAGGUGGGCUAGAGAAGUCUGUGCAUGGAGCAAAUAGUCGUUUCUAGAGUGCUGUGAUGUGGUGUGGAUUGCAGAUGAGUAGGGGAGGUGACCUGGAGCCCGGGGAGCAGGUAGGAUGGCUGGGGGCUGUAAUGGUCAUACUGGAGAUGGUGGACUUGUUAGGAGGUUUAGGUAGACAGAUAGACAUGAACAGCCCAGGAAGAGGAAGAUAAGAUUCAAGGAAAAAACUGCCCAAACUGCCAGGGAGGGGGUCCCACGUGAAGACAACAAAGGCUUUGCAGGGAGAUGACCCUUGCCUGUGGGGCCAGACCAAACCCUUCCCUACCAGGUCCCAAUGUGGAUCCAAUCAAACAAAACUAAGAACUGUCCAAACCACGUCUCCUCAUAAUCUCAUUAAAAUAAAAUUGAGGUUUUGUCCCACCUCCCUUGGGCUCUUCUGUGUACAUUCUGGGAAAAGACAGAGCACCAAGGGGAAUGGGUGCAUAACUAGAGUGUCAAUGAAAUGACCUCACCUGUCAAUCAAAGAAGUGCUUCCCAGCUAGGUGGUGAUAAAUAGACGUUUCUCUAAAAGUUCGGGGCCUUUCUCUACCUUGACUCUGGCCUGCUCCUCCCUUGGAGUGUAUUCAAAUAAAACUUUCACCCUGCUUUGCUACUUUAUCUCUGCCUUUCAAUUCUUUGUUGCAGCAGAGAAGAGACCGAGGAGAUAAAACGCAACCCAUAGCAGACUGGGUUGGCACAAAAACCAAUGAGAGGGAGGUAAGAAAAAGGAUGUCAGAUGUAUUUAGGAGGUAGAAUUGCUGGAGUUCUACCUAUCAGAGACAUAGACUUCAUUUACAGCUGGGUGAGAAAGGCUGCUGGUUGAGUGACUCUUCAAUUUUGCUAGGAGGGUACCUGGAGUAAUGGUUUUCAGCUUGUUUUCUGGAAGCCCAAGUGUGGCUCUGCCCCUUACGGGCUGAGUGACUUCCAGAAAGCUUCUUAACUUCUUGGUGCCUCAGUUUCCCCAUUUGUAACUUGCACAUAAUGUUAGUAACCAUCUCAUAGGAUUGUCAGGAGGAUUAAAUGAGUUACAAUUUGUGAAGCACUUAGAACUCCUCUGGCACAUAGUAAAUGCUAAAGGAGUAUUAAAAUCACAGAAGUAUAUACAUAACAUAAUGUUGCAAAUUAUCUUUCUGAGGCGUGGCCAAACAAGACCAGGAUACAAUUUGGGGACUUUCUAAAUAUGUAGGCACUAUUGAGUACAGGCAGAAUGUCUGGCAUCUGGGAAGUUGAGAGAUCCAGGUCAGCUGACCGUGUCCAUAGAAGGGAAAACUCUGGCUCUGGGACAGGUGCACGAUGAUGCUACAUGUACGCAAAGACAAAGCAGAGAGUCCAGUGGGACCCACAACUCCCAGAAGGUCGGCUUUAAAACUGGAAGAAGUAUCGGAGGUGUGGCCGUUGUUCUCUCACCUCCAGAGACAGAAGCUGAUGACUCGGUUUGUUUCAGGAAUUUGGUCAAUUGCCAGGAAAGAUUUAUUGUCUUUUGUAUCAUUUUUUGGAAUCAGUUUUAUAGAAAUAAUGUAUAAAUACAUAGAAACCCAUGGCAGGCUCACAUCCAAUGACUUGACUGUCCGGCAGCUAUUGAUUGGCCUUCCCCAUGCUCCUUGCUCGGCCUGAAAUGCUCACCCCCAGUCCUCAGUAACUCCCGGAGGUCCUUCUGGUCUCAGUUCUAAGUCACUUAUCAGGGACCCUGUCUUUACUCCCCCAGAUUAUAUAUACCCCCAUGGCACUUCCCGCCAUGUCCUCUGUCAUCGUUUGUCAGCCUUUCCCUUGGGGAUCAUUUGGAUGUUGCCAGUUUUCUCCCUCAUACAAUAAGCUCCAUUAAGGGGAGAUUUUGCUUUUUUUCACCCCUUGUAUCCUGAUGCCUACACAGUGCCAGGACAAUGUGAGUGCUCACUAAAUAUUUGUUGAAUUCAAUGAUGUUUUUGUUGAAUAAUGAAUGACUGAUUUGCGACCAGGCUAUAGUCCCCAGCCACCCAAAGGAUCUCUUGGUUUUCUGGAGCCAUAGAGAUCCCUUUUGGCAGUAAAUGGUUAGGGUGUUUGAGCUGAUCAGGACUGAUAAUUAUAUCUGCAGAUCAGGGGUUUCUUCCUGCAGACUCCAGCUCUCCGUUGGUCCCCCGAGUAGUAGGCUGAGUGGCACGGGACCAGGCUUUGUCAUCUCAGCUGGGCCCUCCUCAUCCUGCCGAGGGGCCUCAAACACCUCCAGUGCCGCCGCUCUAUUGCUCUGCAGUGGGAGCAUGACAUCCAGGGAACAAGUUGAACUCCCUCACAGUUUGUCUCGCACCAUUAGUAAUGGGAAACAAUACCAUCGAGAUGUCAUCAGGCCUAAUGUGGCUGGUUAUAUUAAAUGCUACAAAUAAUAAUGGAAGAAACGUGAGCCUCUCUUUGCUGCAGCAUGCGUUGCUGAGGAAAUGAAGACCGUCGCAUUCAAAACCUCAUUUCCUCUCUUAACUACAAGGGAUUUUAGCAUCAAAGGACUUCAUACCCAGACUUCCCCCUUGGAAAAACGCAGCCUGUAAAGCAAACCAGCAGGGGGCGCUGCGGCCCUUCCGGAGAGUCUUUUGGUGCCCGAAGGCAGUGACUUGCACCAAUGAUGAUCAAGUCUCUCUCAUAUUUAUGACACUCCAGUUACAAACCUGAGAGGAGAAAGGCUUAUGAUGGUGUCAUUUAUAUGCUUUCUUUAAAAGUCACAUGAAUCAAGUUUGUGAAAGCAAUCUGCCACGUACAGAUGUCCCUAUUUAGUGGAAAAUCACCUUACCAAAGAAAGGGUGACUGGAGUUGAGGGAACAUUGAUUUAACGUGAUCCAAAUUCAUACGUCAGUUUAAAGUCAUCUGAGCUGUUAGGGGUCAUAGGAACUUGGAUGUGAUUUCUCAGUGAAUGUGUAAACAAAUUAGGGAAGUUAAAAGAUGGUCAUGUUAAAUGAAAGGGGAUGCUUUUCACAGUUAUUACACUAAAUAGCAAAACUGGGUUUUAGUUUGCAUGAGGCCUUCAAAAAGCGCAUAUGACAAGCAGGAAGUUAAAUGGAGGCCUUAUCUGCAGGGGUGUGGCUAGUUUACCUGACUCUCUGGGACACAGUCCUGGUUUGAGGGGUCUGGUGGUGGAGAAUCUGUGCCACCAGAGAGGAGUUUGAUCCUGACAGCCUCUCUAUUUCCAGUGGGGUCUUGGUUUCUCUCAGGGUUAUGUCACUGUAGAGUGGAGUGGAUGGCCACACCAAUAAUCCCAGAUCCCCUGUCUUUACAGCUAAAGGCCUCUGCCUCUGGGGCUGACACUGGAGCGGGUGGUUAAAUAGGGCUCAGCCUCUCACUGUGGGGUGAUGGUGAGGUGGCCUAUCUGCUGAUUGCUAGAGGGGAGCAGAGGUGGUCCAAGUCUUCUUACGAGAUCCUAGAUGCUUUGAUGGAUAUGACUAAUAACCCUCCUAUGUCUCUUGCAGUACACUUGAUGAUCGACAUGGGGAAUACUUAAAACACUACCCGGAGGAAAGGAUAUUUCCAGGAGCCACUCUGAGAUGGCGUGGACCAAGUGGCCUGGAGAGCAGACAUCCCCUCCAGCUUACUGAGCGCUCCUAGUUCUUCAUUCAGCUGCUUCUUGCUUGAAGCACGAGGAUCUUAUGGUGUGAUAAAAAAUGUUUUGAAUGCUCACGGAGGGCCUCCUUUUGAAGGCUUUUACUCUGCAGUCUCUCUCAACAUUUGAAUUUACUUGGAGAAGAAAGAAUAAAGAAAAGCUAUGGCACACGGAGCACCUCCCUUAGAGAAAGCCUAAGGUCUGCGGGCGGAGUCAUACAGCGCAGUGUGUGUGU